GACGAACGCUGGCGGCGUGCUUAACACAUGCAAGUCGAGCGGUAAGGCCCCUUCGGGGGUACACGAGCGGCGAACGGGUGAGUAACACGUGAGCAAUCUGCCCAUCACAUCGGGAUAACUCCGGGAAACCGAAGCUAAUACCGAAUACGACCACCUCCGGCAUCGGAUGGUGGUGGAAAGUUCUGGCGGUGAUGGAUGAGCUCGCGGCCUAUCAGCUUGUUGGUGGGGUAACGGCCCACCAAGGCUUCGACGGGUAGCCGGCCUGAGAGGGUGACCGGCCACACUGGGACUGAGACACGGCCCAGACUCCUACGGGAGGCAGCAGUGGGGAAUAUUGGACAAUGGGCGAAAGCCUGAUCCAGCAACGCCGCGUGAGGGAUGACGGCCUUCGGGUUGUAAACCUCUUUCAGCAGGGACGAAGCGCAAGUGACGGUACCUGCAGAAGAAGCACCGGCCAACUACGUG
rnacentral:rRNA from 1 species